CAACUUUCAACAACGGAUCUCUUGGCUCUGGCAUCGAUGAAGAACGCAGCGAAAUGCGAUAAGUAUUGUGAAUUGCAGAAUCCAGUGAAUCAUCGAAUCUUUGAACGCACAUUGCGCCCGCCGGUAUUCCGGCGGGCAUGCCUGUUCGAGCGUCAUUU
rnacentral:rRNA from 1 species